AUCUGUACCUGUGGGUAAAAAACAAAAAACAAAAAGGACAACAAACUAAUACCUAAAUGCCUCAACCAAAAAGCGUUAGAGCCAGGGUACGUAGCCAAAAAUUUACAACUGAAUUAUGUCCUUAAAAUUCUCAACCAAAGAAUCAGACGACUGAACGCAAAUAUUAAAGAUCUCAACAAAAGAGCAGAAGAGAUUCGACAAAAAUUGAAACAAAUGGUGUCAGAAGAGAUUUUCCAAAAGAUUUUAGAAUUCACCAAAUCCUCACAACUAAAACAGCAUGAAAUCUCCAAAAAACGGCAAAUUAAAAAAUUCCAAAAUUUGAUUAAGCGCAAAGAACCCACUCCAAGUAGAUACAGGGCCAAAUCAGACCAAAUUGAAGAAAUCCCUUGUGAGGAAAAAUGGAUUAAGAAUUUAUCUAAUCGUGACUUAUCAGAAGCAGAGAAAACAGUGCUUGCCAAAGGCCUGAACUUUUCAGUUACACCUAACAACAUACCAAAAACAGACUACAUCACAGCGGUAGAAACAGCGAUCAAAAAUAACAAGUUAUCAAAAGCAGAAGCAGAUGACAUUCGCCUUAGUGUAGCCUCCUCGCUAAAAACAGCAAAACCGCCACCCUCAAACAUAUCAGUAGAAGAACGGAAAGCCUUAGCAGAACUCCAAAAAGAAGAUAGCAUCACAAUAUUACCAGCAGACAAAGGCAGAUGCACAG